AAAUUUAUAUUCAGAAAAGGUAUAAAAUAAAAUAAAAAACAAUGGCACAAUGGCCGAAAAAUAAGUGCUGCUGUUGUUGUCGCUCGUUGUUGUGUCGUUUGUUGUUCGUUGUU
rnacentral:ribozyme from 13 species